UGGGGGAUAUUGCACAAUGGGCGAAAGCCUGAUGCAGCGACGCCGCGUGGGGGAUGAAGGCUUUCGGGGUGUAAACCUCUUUCGCUAUCGAACAAGGCCCGCUUAGGGUGGGUUGAGGGUAGGUGGAGAAGAAGCGCCGGCUAACUACGUGCCAGCAGCCGCGGUAAUACGUAGGGCGCGAGCGUUGUCCGGAAUUAUUGGGCGUAAAGGGCUUGUAGGCGGCUUGUUGCGCCUGCUGUGAAAACGCGGGGCUUAACUUCGCGCGUGCAGUGGGUACGGGCAGGCUUGAGUGUGGUAGGGGUGACUGGAAUUCCAGGUGUAGCGGUGGAAUGCGCAGAUAUCUGGAGGAACACCGAUGGCGAAGGCAGGUCACUGGGCCAUUACUGACGCUGAGGAGCGAAAGCAUGGGUAGCGAACAGG
rnacentral:rRNA from 1 species